UCCUCGCCACUCACUCCUCACUCCCACUGACUGGCUCAUCUCCUCUAGUAGUGCCUUCCAGCGUCCCUUCUCCUUGCUAGCACACACAAUCCAGAUCCGCUUCCUUCCCCGACCGCCUCCUCCGCUUCCGGCUCGCCGCCGCCCGAUCCCCGUCCGCCUCCUCUCCUUCACCCGUGGAGCCUUCCCGACAUCCCCAUCUACGUGCCCACAUCAGAUGGCUUACGAAAUCGUGACCGUGGCGAGUGGGGUGAUGGACCCCCUCAUCGGCAAGCUCAACGCGCUGAUGGGAGAAGAGUACGGCAAGUUCACAGGGGUCAGGAAGCAGGCCUCGUUCCUCGAGAAGGAACUCAGCGCCAUGAAGGCUGUUCUUCACAAGUUGGAGCUCGUGGAUGAGCUCGACCCAACCGCCAAGGACUGGGUGGAUCAUGUUAGGGAUAUGUCCUAUGACAUGGAGAAUUGUAUCGACGACUUCAUGCACCAAUUUCGAGCUGAUGAUGCCAAGGCAGGCUUCAUAGAGAAGAUUACUCAAUUCAUCAAGAAGUUUCGACAACGCCUUCGAAUAGCCGACCGAAUGGAAGAGCUCAAGACUCUUGCCUUGGAGGCAAAUGAUCGGCGCGAGAGGUAUAAGAUUGAUGAUUGGAAGCCUGCAUCUAGCUCUGUCGUUGUUGACCCUCGGCUGCGAGCGAUAUACCAGGAGGCGGAUACUCUCGUUGGCAUUGAUGGCCCAAGGGAGGAGGUUGUGACUCAGUUGAUGGAUACUCAGAAGAAACUCAAGGUGGUGUCAGUUGUUGGAUUUGGUGGUCUUGGUAAAACUACACUUGCCAAGCAGGUGUAUGACAAGAUUGACUCGCAAUUCGAUUGCAAGGCAUUCUUUUCAGUUUCACAGAGGCCUGAUAUGAGUGAGCUACUCAACAAUUUACAAUAUAAACUAGGGAUGAACAACCCUGUCUCGUCUCGUGCUCGUAAGGUUGACGACAUCAUUAAAGAGAUAAGGAAUUAUCUGAAAGAGAAAAGGUACCUUAUUGUUGUUGACGAUGUGUGGGAUGAAUCAGCAUGGUACAUUAUUAAGUGCGUGUUUCCAGAAGAGGGUAAUGGAAGUAGAGUAAUAGUCACAACGCGAGUGGAAGUUGUGGCUGGUGCAGCCUGUCAGAAUGACCGUGAGGGCAUCUACAAAUUGGAACCUCUCAGCGAAGAAAACUCAAGAAUGUUAUUGUUGAACAGAGUAUUUGGGUCCGAACAUGGUUGUCCACCCCAAUUGGAACAAGUCAUGACUGAGAUUUUAAAGAAGUGUCAUGGGCUGCCUCUUGCAAUUAUCACAAUAGGUAGCCUAUUAGCCAGUCAAGAAAGAUCAAGGAAGGGCUGGGAGAGUAUAAGGGAUUCUCUGGGUGCCCACUCUGCCACAAAUCCCUCCUUGGAAGAGAUGAAGAGUAUAUUAAACCUUAGCUACAUGCAUCUUCCUGCUUAUCUGCGGGCAUGUUUUUUAUACCUUGGUAUGUAUGUUGAGGACUAUGUGAUCUCACGGGACGAUCUUGUUCGACAAUGGAUAGCUGAAGGCCUUGUAGGUAACUUGCAUGGGCAAGAUUUGGAGGCUGUUGGCAGGAAUUAUUUCAAUGAACUUAUCAAUAGAAGCAUGAUUCAGCUUUGUGAAACAAGUUAUGGAGAGGUGUUUUCUUGCAAAGUACAUGAUCUGAUGCUUGAUUUGAUCGUAAGCAAGUGUGAUAGAAAUAACUUUUUAAGUGUGGCAUACAGUUAUGAAGGCAUGGCAAGACUGCAUGGCUGCAAGUAUAAGGUCCGUCGAUUAUCUCUGAGCUCGAUGGCUGGUGGUGGAGCAACAUACGACCCAACUAUUACUGUUAACCUAUCACAAAUACGGUCAUUUACACUGUUUGGGAAAUCCAUGCCUCCUCUUGUGUUGUUCAAGUAUCUCCGGGUGCUAAGGAUUGAUCAAGGCAGUGUUGGGGAAGAUGAGGGUACCCUUGACCUUACCGCCAUCAGCCAAUUGUUUGAGUUGAGAUAUUUGUAUGUUCGGGGACCAGAUUUCGUGCAGCUCCCUGCUGAACUUCAAGGGCUUGUUUACUUGGAGACACUGCACAUUGAUUCAGAGCUCAAGAGCAUUCCCUCAGAUAUAGUCCAUUUGUCCCGCUUGUCCUAUCUUUAUAUUGAGUAUUGCAACCACGGGGUGCUGCCUGAAUGGAUUGGGAAUAUGAAAUCACUGAACAGCCUGAGGAUGCCGGUAGGCAUGCGGAACGGCCAGAGGGAAUUGAAUGGGAUGAACGGUAUUAUAGGUCUCGGCGAGCUGACCAAUCUCAGGGACCUAACAAUCAUUCUGUGGUCUUUGGAGAAGCCAGAACUUGAUGCUUUGGUCUGCUCCAUUGGAAAGCUCUGUAACCUCAAACAUCUUCAAUUCAAUGGGCCUGGUACAGAAAUCCAUAGCCAGAUGGGCUCAUUAUCCAAUCCUUUCCAACAUAUCGAGGAAUUGAAAGUGCUGGUGUUGAAUUUCCGUAGAGUUCCCACAUGGAUGGGCGGUCUCCAUUGCCUUCGCAUCCUCAGCCUGCGUGUCGAGGAGACCUCGACUGAUGAGGUUCGUCUUCUAGGAGAGCUUCCCUCCCUCGUCAAACUCAUAUUCAUUCCGUCACAUAUCCCUAAAGAAAGGGCUAUACUAGGCACGGGACUAUUCCCCGUUCUGGAGUACUUCCAUUUUUGGCCUAAGGAAGACGCUAUGGCAUACCUGGGAUUCGAGAUGGGGGCCAUGCCCAACCUACGGACCCUCAGUCUUAAUAGCGGGGAGUGGGGUGGCAGUGUACCAAUUGGGAUGGAGCACCUGUUAUGCCUCCAGAAGAUCAGACCGUAUCGGGAUCUCAACCAUGAUGCAACCAUGGUUUCUGCGUUCAGGGAUGCCUUAUCACUGCACCCCAACCACCCUUCCGUUGAAUAGUCACAAACAGUUUGAAUCUGUCAGGUUGUGCGGCCAAUCUGUUUUACCAACAAUCAGCUGCUCAACAGGCCCUUUUAUUACUGAUGAAUAUGCAGAGUUGGGAAUCUCAUGGCGCUGUCUGUGAGUUGCAUGACCUUGUGCCUGUAAUCCAGAGCAACAGCAGGGCGCUAGCUAGCAUCCUGAAUUGGUUGGAGGCCUGUGAAUCUACAUGGCCUUGUAGGAAGAGUGUGAGUGUUUCUGCAGCUGGCUGCCGAACAUGGAGACUGAUGUGUAAAAGGAUUGUAAGCAAAAUGCAGAGUUUUGUGGAAGGCUCAGUUUGCAUGCUUCCUGAAGCAGUUGCUGCCCCGAACAAUGCCUGGGAUGUAAAAAUGCAACAAUCAGAAGGAAGACUCCGAUUAACCUUGGACUCUGGUUGAGCUUGGUCUAUAGCACUCGACGCAACCUACCCUGGCUGCUUUUGGGGCGAUCCUGCAGUCGAUGGAUGCUGCUGUAAGUUGGAGAGACUCUGGGCGCUCGACACUUGUGUCUACGGUGCUGGACAGUGGUGAUUGAUGCUCGUUGUAAUGUUUUGGGUAGUUAUUCACAAGCCCUGCCAUAUUUAUGUUAGAAUUAAUGGGCUAGGCCUAUAGCAAUUUCUGAAAUCUCAAAGCCCAUGUGUAAAAUGGCAAGUGGUGGUGCUAAGUUUAGUCCCACCUUGAAAGUUGAAGAAGAAUUGGACCUCUUUAUAUAGUGGGUUCUCUCCACCACUCUAAGUGGUGUGUGAGAAGAGAAAGGGAAAACCACACGCGCGCGCUUGCUCGCCUGGCCGGGCCGUGGCGUGGCAUGGCGUACAUGCGCAUGAAUGGUCACAGGAGCGCAGCUUCCUUUUGCCAUUUUAA